GAUCUUAACUGACUUAAUUGCCAUCAACUACUGCACCCCAUUGUUCCAGUUUAGGACCAAAACUUAUUAAAGCCUCAUUACUGCUACAACUCGGUAAUAUCAAAGACUCUGAACUUUGUUACAUCAAAUUCAUUAGUUUACCUGAAGAAAAAAAAUCGAUAUUUCAGUGUUUCAGUGCCUUUUUUUUUACGAGAAAAUUAAUACAACUUUCAUUUUUCAUUUUUUUAGAACGUCAAUUGGGUUGUAGGUCCUAGAUUGUAAAUCCUAAUAUUGUUGUAUUUGUCAGAUUAAAGUUUUCUUUGACCUACAAAUCGAAAGUUCACAAAAGAUAAAAAAAGAAAUUAAACAAAAAUAUUUUGAUAAGAAAUUUAUAACAAGGAGAGAGAAAAACGAAUAACGAGAGCCAUACGUAUUAAGUGAAUGUUAAGUCAUAUAUUAAAACUGUCUUAUUAAUUGAUUUAAGCAGUAACUCUUACAGAAUAUGAUCACUAUAUAAUAGCAAUAAAUUAAAAAAAAAAAAAAAAAACCGACAAGGAAGUCCUCAUGUUUUAGUGACAUGAAAAAUCCUAUCCUUAUGACCCAGACUUUAGAUUUCCAAAGCUGUAUUUAACUUUUCGGUUAUUUCGGUUUUUAAUGCUCUUCGUACCUAAUUUGACCUUCCAAUUGUUUUCGAGCGUUACUAGUGACUUUAUUGUAGACAUAACGGCCCUGGGCGUCUGGCGUUCAACAUUAUAAGCCUGGUAAUUUAGAUGAGUUUUCAGGGUUACUGUCCUUUGAAACUUAGGCAGGGGAGAUAGAUUGGAGACAAAUAUUGAUAAGGUCUCGUAAGAACCUUUAUCUGUAUCCCAUUUUCUGUUUACCGAAUUAUUUUCCUAUCAUAAAAAAUAUCACAUUUUACAGCAACAACGUUAAUAUGCAAUUCGUAUAUGAAAGGUUUUCGAUAAAUAGGUUAUCUUAGGAAAAGAUCCUAAAAUAAAAUAGAGAUAUAAUAAAAUUAAACGGAACAGAUUGCGCAAUAACCAUUACCAAUUCGUCAUGUUUGGGUAUCAGAUGAAAUGAAAUAGUCUCGGGAGUUUUCAUAAAGGCUAUUCAAUGAUCCCAAUCUUUAUUUAUCGAC
rnacentral:lncRNA from 1 species